rnacentral:rRNA from 1 species
UGGGGAAUAUUGCACAAUGGGGAAGACCCUGAUGCAGCAACGCCGCGUGAAGGAUGAAGGUUUUCGGAUUGUAAACUUCUAUCAACAGGGACGAAACAAAUGACGGUACCUGAAUAAGAAGCCCCGCUAACUACGUGCCAGCAGCCGCGGUAAUACGUAGGGGCAAGCGUUAUCCGGAAUUACUGGGUGUAAAGGGAGCGUAGGCGGCACGUCAAGCCAGAUGUGAAAGCCCGGGGGCUUAACCCCGUGGAUUGCAUUUGGAACUGGCGAGCUAGAGUACAGGAGAGGAAACGGAAUUCCUAGUGUAGCGGUGAAAUGCGUAGAUAUUAGGAAGAACACCAGUGGCGAAGGCGGCUUUCUGGACUGAAACUGACGCUGAGGCUCGAAAGCGUGGGGAGCAAACAGGAUUAGAUACC